CCCGCUCCUGCACAACAGAAAUCAGAGACCAAUUGUUAGUUAAAAUAUGCAACUCCUCCUGCUCCAAGUUAAAAUGCUUUAAAAAUGUCUGGAUGAAAGCAUAAACUGGUGGAAGGUUAAAAGACACAGGUACUUUGAGAUCUGUGGGUAAAAUCUUCAUUUUCCUGAGGUAAGAUCCCAUCCAGAAUUGUGUCAUUGCUUUUGUCUUGGGGUUUCCGGAUGGGUCUGUAGCUGUUUUGAGGUGUAGUGUGAUGUAUCUACUUCCUAAAAACAAAUAUAGAUUGGGCACUCCUUUUCCUCCUUUUUCUUUUGGCUUCUUCAUGAUGUCUCUUCUUAGCCUUUCCCACUUCGAGCCCCACAGAAAAUAAAAGAUGGCUCGGUCCAGAUCUAAAAGCACCCUCCUAGGUGGGAUAAAAACAGAACUGAUCAGUAAAAGCAAAGGUAAAAUCACUGCUUUAAUGAUUAAAACCUUUCCUUCCAUGGUCAGUCCUCUAAAUCCCCAGUACCCUAGUCUUUGCCGUACUUUCCCUACCACGUCUGGCCAAUUUGUUCUCCCUCCACCUUUCUUGUCAAAUUUAAUCCCCAGUAUUUUCUGGUCAGUCUGGGUCAUAGUCAAAGGGAGUCCUGUCAUUUCAGUCGCUGUCCAUGGUCCAUAAAAUUGUGCUUAGGUCUUGCCUCUGUUUAGUUUAGACCCAGAGGCCCGUACAAACCAGUCAGUCAAGUCCAGCGUCCUGUUAACAGAUAAAAGGUCAGUGCAUAAAAUGUUCACGUCGUCCAUAUAUAAAACACACUUGGUAACAAGUCCCCCGCUCCCUGGAACUCCCACCCCAUUGAUUCGUUGGUCCCUUCUCAAGACCUGUGCCAGUGGUUCUAUACAGGUGACAUAGAGAAGGGCAGAUAACGGACAACCCUGACGGACGCCGCAGUUAAUAUCAACUGCUUUUGUCAGAUGCCUGUUAACAACAAAUUUGCUGGUAAUGCCCUGGAACAGCAAUCCCACCCAAACUAGAAACCUCUCUGGGAACCCCAUUUUUGGCAGUACCUGGAAAAGGUACUGGUGCGAGACCCGAUCAAAGGCUUUCUCAAAAUCUAGAUUGAGGACUACUAGCCGGAUGUUUCUGUCUCUUGCAUAACAGAUGGUGUCUCGGAUCAGUACGAGGCUGUCGGUGAUCUUCCUCCCCGGGAUGGCACAGGCUUGAUCCGGAUGAAUCAUCUCUUGUAAAAACAAGGACAUAUGUGAUGCUAAAAGUUUACAGUCAAAGUUUAAAAGUGAUAGGUCUCCAAUUCUUCAGGAGAGUCCUGAAUGCCUUGAAUUGAAAAAACUUCAACUCAGAGCGGAAAAGCACCCAAUUUCAUUUCCGUUUUUUGUCAUUGUCCAGUUGGAUUAAUUGAAAGGCAGGCCUUAUGUGGUGGUGAUGACAAUAAUUAAAAAAACAAACAAAAAACAUUG